AUUGAACGCUGGCGGAAUGCUUUACACAUGCAAGUCGAACGGCAGCACGGACUUCGGUCUGGUGGCGAGUGGCGAACGGGUGAGUAAUGUAUCGGAACGUGCCCAGUCGUGGGGGAUAACGUAGUGAAAAUUACGCUAAUACCGCAUACGAUCUAUGGAUGAAAGCGGGGGAUCGCAAGACCUCGCGCGAUUGGAGCGGCCGAUAUCAGAUUAGGUAGUUGGUGGGGUAAAGGCCCACCAAGCCAACGAUCUGUAGCUGGUCUGAGAGGACGACCGGCCAAACUGGAACUGAGACACGGUCCAGACUCCUACGGGAGGCAGCAGUGGGGAAUUUUGGACAAUGGGCGAAAGCCUGAUCCAGCCAUUCCGCGUGCAGGAUGAAGGCCCUCGGGUUGUAAACUGCUUUUGUACAGAACGAAAAGGUUUCUACUAAUACUAGGAGCUCAUGACGGUACUGUAAGAAUAAGCACCGGCUAACUACGUGCCAGCAGCCGCCGUAA
rnacentral:rRNA from 1 species